rnacentral:rRNA from 1 species
GACGAACGCUGGCGGCGUGCUUAACACAUGCAAGUCGAACGGAAAGGCCCUGCUCUUGUGGGGUUCUCGAUUGGCGAACGGGUGAGUAACACGUGAGUAACCUGCCCUUGACUUUGUGAUAUCUUCAGGAAACUGGGGCUAUUACCGGGUAGGAGCUCCUGCUGCAUGGUGGGGGUUGGAAAGUUUCGGCGGUGGUGGAUGUACUCGCGGCUUAUCAGCUUGUUGGUCGGGUAGUGGCUUUCCAAGGCUUUGACGGGUAGCCGGCCUGAGAGGGUGACCGGCCACAUUGGGACUGAGAUACGGCCCAGAAUCCUACGGGAGGCAGCAGUGGGGAAUAUUGCACAAUGGGCGGAAGCCUGAUGCAGCAACGCCGCGUGCGGGAUGACGGCCUUCGGGUUGUAAACCGAUUUGGCCUGUGACGAAGCGUGAGUGACGGUAAUGGGUAAAGAAGCACCGGCUAACUACGUG